rnacentral:rRNA from 1 species
CAGUCGCCGCGGUAAUACGAAGGGGGCUAGCGUUGUUCGGAUUUACUGGGCGUAAAGGGCGCGUAGGCGGACUGGUAAGUCAGGGGUGAAAUCCCAAGGCUCAACCUUGGAACUGCCUUUGAUACUGUUUGUCUUGAGUUCGAGAGAGGUAAGUGGAACUGCGAGUGUAGAGGUGGAAUUCGUAGAUAUUCGCAAGAACACCAGUGGCGAAGGCGGCUUACUGGCUCGAAACUGACGCUGAGGCGCGAAAGCGUGGGGAGCAAACAGGAUUAGAUACCCCAGAGUCCCUGUCUCUUAUACA